AAUGAACGCUGGCGGCGUGCUUAACACAUGCAAGUCGAACGAGAAAGGGAUUGCUUGCAAUCCUGAGUAGAGUGGCGCACGGGUGAGUAACACGUAGAUAAUCUACCUUUGAGCCUGGGAUAACUAAUCGAAAGGUUAGCUAAUACCGGAUGAGGUCAAUAGAUAUAAGUUUAUUGAUGAAAGAUUGCCUAUCCAUGGAAGCAAUUGUUUGGAGAUGAGUUUGCGGACCAUUAGCUGGUUGGUGGGGUAAAGGCCUACCAAGGCGAUGAUGGUUAGCUGGUCUGAGAGGAUGAUCAGCCACACUGGAACUGAAACACGGUCCAGACUCCUACGGGAGGCAG
rnacentral:rRNA from 1 species